rnacentral:rRNA from 1 species
CUGAUAUAACAAGCAAAAAUCAAAACUUUCAACAACGGAUCUCUUGGUUCUGGCAUCGAUGAAGAACGCAGCGAAAUGCGAUAAGUAGUGUGAAUUGCAGAAUUCAGUGAAUCAUCGAAUCUUUGAACGCACAUUGCGCCCUUUGGUAUUCCUUAGGGCAUGCCUGUUCGAGCGUCAUUUAAACCUUCAAGCUCAGCUUG